rnacentral:lncRNA from 1 species
GCCGGUUGGACUCACGGGCGGGGCAUGAUGGUGGUGGGUACGGGCACCUCGCUGGCGCUCUCCUCCCUCCUGUCCCUGCUGCUCUUUGCUGGGAUGCAGAUGUACAGCCGUCAGCUGGCCUCCACCGAGUGGCUCACCAUCCAGGGCGGCCUGCUUGGUUCGGGUCUCUUCGUGUUCUCGCUCACUGUAUCCUCCCUGCAGUUGGAGGGGGCGGGCCACGUAGGCAUGUGCCCUUCCCCUUCCCCACACAGCUCUGUCCCCGUUGCACACCCUACUCCUUAACUCCCUCAACCAGGCCUUCAAUAAUCUGGAGAAUCUUGUCUUUGGCAAAGGAUUCCAAGCAAAGAUCUUCCCUGAGAUUCUCCUGUGCCUCCUGUUGGCUCUCUUUGCAUCUGGCCUCAUCCACCGAGUCUGUGUCACCACCUGCUUCAUCUUCUCCAUGGUUGGUCUGUACUACAUCAACAAGAUCUCCUCCACCCUGUACCAGGCAGCAGCUCCAGUCCUCACACCAGCCAAGGUCACAGGCAAGAGCAAGAAGAGAAACUGACCCUGAAUGUUCAAUAAAGUUGAUUCUUUGU